ACUUAAAUAAUUUAAAAUUAAAAUAUUGAUUUGUGGAGUCAAAAAUAUGAAAAUAAUAAUCAUUUUAGGUY
rnacentral:tRNA from 1 species